rnacentral:rRNA from 1 species
UACGGAGGGUGCAAGCGUUAUCCGGAUUCACUGGGUUUAAAGGGUGCGUAGGUGGGCCUGUAAGUCAGCGGUGAAAUCUCCGGGCUUAACCCGGAAACUGCCAUUGAUACUAUAGGUCUUGAAUUAUCUGGAGGUAAGCGGAAUAUGUCAUGUAGCGGCGAAAUGCUUAGAUAUGACAUAGAACACCAAUUGCGAAGGCAGCUUACUACGGAUAUAUUGACACUGAGGCACGAAAGCGUGGGGAUCAAACAGG